rnacentral:rRNA from 1 species
CUAGUAGCGGCGAGCGAAGCGGGAAGAGCUCAAAUUUAUAAUCUGGCACCUUCGGUGUCCGAGUUGUAAUCUCUAGAAAUGUUUUCCGCGUUGGACCGCACACAAGUCUGUUGGAAUACAGCGGCAUAGUGGUGAGACCCCCGUAUAUGGUGCGGACGCCCAGCGCUUUGUGAUACAUUUUCGAAGAGUCGAGUUGUUUGGGAAUGCAGCUCAAAUUGGGUGGUAAAUUCCAUCUAAAGCUAAAUAUUGGCGAGAGACCGAUAGCGAACAAGUACCGUGAGGGAAAGAUGAAAAGCACUUUGGAAAGAGAGUUAACAGUACGUGAAAUUGUUGGAAGGGAAACGCUUGAAGUCAGACUUGCUUGCCGAGCAAUCGGUUUGCAGGCCAGCAUCAGUUUUCCGGGAUGGAUAAUGGUAGAGAGAAGGUAGCAGUUUCGGCUGUGUUAUAGCUCUCUGCUGGAUACAUCUUGGGGGACUGAGGAACGCAGUGUGCCUUUGGCGGGGGUUUCGACCUCUUCACACUUAGGAUGCUGGUGGAAUGGCUUUAAACGAC